CUCCCUGCUCCGCGAGAAAUUGUCUGUAGAAGGUUGAUGGAGCAGUGGUGUUUGUUGCUGAACUGUUUUCGGGAUUUGUAGGGCGGAUGUUGAGUGGCGGGUUGUCAACUCUGGACUUGCUGUCAACUGAGCAGAGCCAGGCUGGGAAGUCCGAAUGCGUGGACAGGUCUAGGGCGAAGCCAAGUGUAGGGACUCAUUCUGUCAGCCCGAAAAGGGCUGGGGGCGGGGUUGAGGGUGUUUGAGUCUUAUGUGAAGUCGAGCCCCUCACCCAUUAAAAUCCGUUAUAGAAUCUGCGAGGCUUCAUCCGGGAAAGUGUUCCAUGGCCACGGAUCAAGAAAGUAUAAAGGAUCAAGAAAAUUAGCCUGGUCUGCAGCCAUUCAUCCGUAAAGACUGCACAUAGAAAAACCGAGACAGGAGCAUCUCUUUGAGGACCAGGCCAGCCUAUGAUGCUCGAGGUUUUGAAAUCGUUUUACUCAUUGUCUGCAAUAUUUCCCUCUUUGCCACUAGAAGAAAAAGCAACACAAUAAAAAUUGUAACUCCAUCAAUAUAAAUUUCUGCACCAUUUACAUGAAGAUACCUACACUGAUUCUGGCAGUCUCCACUUUUGGAAGGUGAGGAAGUGUAUUGGGUCACCGAGGCAAGUAUUUAUAAUUUACAGUGUAUUAUAAAUUUCCAAUGUCUUUUAGCUAAAAAUAACAACUUCAGCUGAUAUCUUUUUGAUGUAAUUAUAUUGUUUCUGGCCUAUGAUUUUGACUUUUAUUAAAGCCAAUCUAGACAAAUCUUAUAUUCUGUACUAAUGAAAUAUAUAUAUGUAAAGUACUAACAGUUUUGAGACAUAAUUCUUUACCUGCAUCCAUUAAUGCCAAACUUCCACCACAUGCAGAUGCCAUAGAAGAUGACCCUAUUGGGAAAGGAAAAGUAAAAAAGAACUAUUUGUGUUGCAAUAUAUUAAUUUUUUAAAGCUAGUGUUGCUUAUUUCCUUAUAAAUAUUAUACUUGAAUAGAAAGAGUCAAUAGUCUUUUCUUCCUUCUGUGUAAACUCACUUGAUGGGCUGGGAGAUGUGUAAGUGGGUAAGAGUACAUGCUGUACAAGUAUGAGAACUUGAGCUAGCACCCAUUAAAAAAAAGAAAAGCUGGGUGUGUGGCCAAAUGUCCAUGGUCCCCCAAGUGUCACAAGAUGUAGAGGCAGGAGACUCACUGGGGCUUGCUGACUGCCAGGGUCAGUGAGAGACCUUGUAUCAAAGGACAAGGUAGAGACUAAAAGAGUAGAACAAAUUUCUCCUCUGCCUUCUGUGUGUCUAUACACACAAGUGUCUGUCACUUGCAACCCCAGCACUCACACCUAUACCAAUCUGUAAACAAAUAGAUAAAGAUAUGAAAGCAUUAAGUCAUUUCUCAAAUUACAAAGGAACAAGGCUACAGAGAACAAUAUGGUAACCACUAGCCAAUAAAUGGUUACUUAAAUGAAUGAAAGAAGUUUAUUUUCUCUGAAGUAAGUUUGUUUUCUCCACUGAGUAAUGUACAGGAUUCCCAUUACUACAAAUAAUUUUAUCGUGCAGUUUUGCUGCAGAGAUUCUGAACCCAAGAAACCCCUAGAAGGCCUAGCAAUAUUUCUGUUGCCUUAAUCAGAAGGUACAAAUACAGGAGUCCUAGCUCUCAUUGGACCAGAAGUCCAGUCCUAAUUAGUGGAGAACAGAAAAGUCUUCAGUUUAGAUUCUGAGCUAACUUUAGUCUGUUGCUUUGAAAUUUGUGACCAUGUGAUAAGACUGCUAGACACCGAAGAACUCUGUGCCCAUUCUGCCUCAGUGAUAAAACCUAGUCUUGACUCAUGAACUAAUUUAUUUUAUUUAACAUUGCUCUAUUAGCUGUGUCUCUCUUGGUGUCCACUUAUUAUUUAUCUCUGAUACGAGGAUUGUUUGAUGCAUCCAUCUGUUUUGGCUGCUACUCUCUCCAAGCUUAACUUGCUCUGUUGCUUGUUUGAAAAAAAUAAAUACUAACCCAAAUUUGAUGUAUUAUAAGACAUGCAAAAAGAGAAAUGCUUGCUUUAGAGUGCUUUCAAAAUAACUUAGUAGGUAAGACCAGAUCAACUUAACAUAUUUUUUCCUGCAGCAGGCUUUGACACUCUGUGGUAGUAAACAUGACAUAACAUAACCUUAGAAAAGUUAAGACUGAAUCAGGGAAUCUAGUCUUUUCUACAAGGAAAGAAAUAUUGCAGUAUCAUACCAUUUG